rnacentral:rRNA from 1 species
AUUGAACGCUGGCGGCAGGCUUAACACAUGCAAGUCGAACGAGCGGCGGACGGGUGAGUAAUGUCUGGGAAACUGCCUGAUGGAGGGGGAUAACUACUGGAAACGGUAGCUAAUACCGCAUACCAUCAGAUGUGCCCAGAUGGGAUUAGCUUGUCGGUGGGGUAACUGCUCACCAAGGCGACGAUCCCUAGCUGGUCUGAGAGGAUGACCAGCCACACUGGAACGGAGACACGGUCCAGACUCCUACGGGAGGCAGCAGUAGGGAAUAUUGCACAAUGGGCGCAAGCCUGAUGCAGCCAUGCCGCGUGUGUGAAGAAGGCCUUCGGGUUGUAAAGCACUUUCGGCGAGGAGGCGUUACCCGCAGAAGAAGCACCGGCUAACUCCGUGCCAGCAGCCGCGGUAAUAC